rnacentral:rRNA from 1 species
GACAGAGGCCCCAAGCGUUAGGCGGAAUCACUGGGCUUAAAGCGUGUGUAGGCGGAUCGUUAAGUGUCUUGUGAAAUCCCACGGCUCACCCGUGGAACUGCUGGGCAUACUGGCGAUCUUGGGCCAACUAGGGGCAGCCGGAACAAGCGGUGGAGCGGUGAAAUGCGUAGAUAUCGCUUGGAACGCCGAAGGUGAAAACAGGCUGCUGGGGUUGUGCCGACGCUGAGACACGAAAGCCAGGGGAGCAAACAGG